rnacentral:lncRNA from 1 species
AGAUUACAGCUCUGAGGUGGCUUUGAUGGAAUGGGGAGAAAAAGUAGGCUGUAAAUUAGGGACCUUUUUGCAGCAAAUUCCACUUAGUUAAAAUGUAACUAUUUAGUUUAGUUUUUUUUAAGGACAAAAUGUGUGUUUGGAUUAUUUGGGACUUAUUGAAUUAAAUUUUAAUUAUGUAAUUACCUUUUAAUCUUUCAAAAUUUAACUCAAUAUUUAUUUAUGCUAAUCAA